UGCAGUCGAGGGGUAUUAGUUUUCGGACUAAGAGACCGGCGCACGGGUGCGUAACGCGUAUGCAAUCUACCUUUUACAGAGGGAUAGCCCAGAGAAAUUUGGAUUAAUACCUCAUAGUAUAAUGACUCGGCAUCGAGAUAUUAUUAAAGUCACAACGGUAAAAGAUGAGCAUGCGUCCCAUUAGCUAGUUGGUAAGGUAACGGCUUACCAAGGCUACGAUGGGUAGGGGUCCUGAGAGGGAGAUCCCCCACACUGGUACUGAGACACGGACCAGACUCCUACGGGAGGCAGCAGUGAGGAAUAUUGGUCAAUAGGCGCAAGCCUGAACCAGCCAUGCCGCGUGCAGGAUGAAGCAUCUAUGGUGUGUAAACUGCUUUUGUACGAGAAGAAACACUCCUUCGUGAAGGAGCUUGACGGUAUCGUAAGAAUAAGGACCGGCUAACUCCGUGCCAGCAGCCGCGGUAAUACGGAGGGUCCAAGCGUUAUCCGGAAUCAUUGGGUUUAAAGGGUCCGUAGGCGGUUUUGUAAGUCAGUGGUGAAAGCCCAUCGCUCAACGGUGGAACGGCCAUUGAUACUGCAAGACUUGAAUUAUUGUGAAGUAACUAGAAUAUGUAGUGUAGCGGUGAAAUGCUUAGAGAUUACAUGGAAUACCAAUUGCGAAGGCAGGUUACUAACAAUAUAUUGACGCUGAUGGACGAAAGCGUGGGUAGCGAACAGGAUUAGAUACCCUGGUAGUCCACGCCGUANACGAUGGAUACUAGCUGUUCGGAGCAAUCUGAGUGGCUAAGCGAAAGUGAUAAGUAUCCCACCUGGGGAGUACGUUCGCAAGAAUG
rnacentral:rRNA from 1 species